rnacentral:tRNA from 1 species
UAAAAAUUCCCUAAACAC